UACGGAGGGGGCAAGCGUUAUUCGGAAUUAUUGGGCGUAAAGGGCGCGUAGGCGGCUUGGCAAGUGGAUGGUGAAAUCCCUCGGCUUAACCGAGGAACUGCCGUCCAAACUGCUUAGCUUGAGACCGGGAGAGGUGAGUGGAAUUCCCAGUGUAGCGGUGAAAUGCGCAGAUAUCAGGAGGAACACCGGUGGCGAAGGCGGUUCUCCGGGCAUUACCUGACGCUGAGACGCGAAAGCGUGGGGAGCAAACAGG
rnacentral:rRNA from 1 species